AACACUAACACAAACCACAGCUUCGUUAACGACCUAGACAGGUGAACGCCUUUAACACUAACACAAACCACAGCAUCGUUAACGACCUAGACAGGUGAACGCUUUUAACACUAACACAAACCACAGCAUCGUUAACGACCUAGACAGGUAAACACCUUUAACACUAACGACCUAGACAGGUGAACGCCUUUAACACUAACACAAACCACAGCUUCGUUAACGACCUAGACAGGUGAACGCCUUUAACACUAACACAAACCACAGCAUCGUUAACGACCUAGACAGGUAAACACCUUUAACACUAACGACCUAGACAGGUGAACGCCUUUAACACUAACACAAACCACAGCAUCGUUAACGACCUAGACAGGUAAACACCUUUAACACUAACGACCUAGACAGGUGAACGCCUUUAACACUAACACAAACCACAGCAUCGUUAACGACCUAGACAGGUAAACACCUUUAACACUAACGACCUAGACAGGUGAACGCCUUUAACACUAACACAAACCACAGCUUCGUUAACGACCUAGACAGGUGAACGCCUUUAACACUAACGACCUAGACAGGUAAACACCUUUAACACUAACGACCUAGACAGGUGAACGCCUUUAACACUAACACAAACCACAACAUCGUUAACGACCUAGACAGGUGAACGCCUUUAACACUAACACAAACCACAGCAUCGUUAACGACCUAGACAGGUAAACACCUUUAACACUAACGACCUAGACAGGUGAACGCCUUUAACACUAACACAAACCACAGCAUCGUUAACGACCUAGACAGGUGAACGCCUUUAACACUAACACAAACCACAACAUCGUUAACGACCUAGACAGGUAAACACCUUUAACACUAACGACCUAGACAGGUGAACGCCUUUAACACUAACACAAACCACAGCAUCGUUAACGACCUAGACAGGUGAACGCCUUUAACACUAACACAAACCACAACAUCGUUAACGACCUAGACAGGUAAACACCUUUAACACUAACACAAACCACAGCAUCGUUAACGACCUAGACAGGUGAACGCCUUUAACACUAACACAAACCACAGCAUCGUUAACGACCUAGACAGGUAAACACCUUUAACACUAACGACCUAGACAGGUGAACGCCUUUAACACUAACACAAACCACAGCAUCGUUAACGACCUAGACGGUUGAACGCCUUUAACACUAACACAAACCACAGCAUCGUUAACGACCUAGACAGGUAAACACCUUUAACACUAACACAAACCACAGCAUCGUUAACGACCUAGACAGGUGAACGCCUUUAACACUAACACAAACCACAGCUUCGUUAACGACCUAGACAGGUGAACGCCUUUAACACUAACGACCUAGACAGGUAAACACCUUUAACACUAACGACCUAGACAGGUGAACGCCUUUAACACUAACACAAACCACAGCAUCGUUAACGACCUAGACAGGUAAACACCUUUAACACUAACACAAACCACAGCAUCGUUAACGACCUAGACAGGUAAACACCUUUAACACUAACGACCUAGACAGGUGAACGCCUUUAACACUAACACAAACCACAGCUUCGUUAACGACCUAGACAGGUGAACACCUUUAACACUAACGACCUAGACAGGUGAACGCCUUUAACACUAACACAAACCACAGCUUCGUUAACGACCUAGACAGGUAAACACCUUUAACACUAACGACCUAGACAGGUGAACGCCUUUAACACUAACACAAACCACAGCAUCUUUAACGACCUAGACAGGUAAACACCUUUAACACUAACACAAACCACAGCAUCGUUAACGACCUAGACAGGUAAACACCUUUAACACUAACGACCUAGACAGGUAAACACCUUUAACACUAACGACCUAGACAGGUGAACGCCUUUAACACUAACACAAACCACAGCAUCGUUAACGACCUAGACAGGUAAACACCUUUAACACUAACGACCUAGACAGGUGAACGCCUUUAACACUAACACAAACCACAGCAUCGUUAACGACCUAGACAGGUAAACACCUUUAACACUAACGACCUAGACAGGUGAACGCCUUUAACACUAACACAAACCACAGCAUCGUUAACGACCUAGACAGGUAAACACCUUUAACACUAACGACCUAGACAGGUGAACGCCUUUAACACUAACACAAACCACAGCUUCGUUAACGACCUAGACAGGUGAACGCCUUUAACACUAACACAAACCACAGCAUCGUUAACGACCUAGACAGGUAAACACCUUUAACACUAACGACCUAGACAGGUGAACGCCUUUAACACUAACACAAACCACAGCAUCGUUAACGACCUAGACAGGUAAACACCUUUAACACUAACGACCUAGACAGGUGAACGCCUUUAACACUAACACAAACCACAGCAUCGUUAACGACCUAGACAGGUGAACGC